UACGAAGGGGGGCUAGCGUUGUUCGGAAUUACUGGGCGUAAAGCGCGCGCAGGCGGUUCUCCAAGUCAGUGGUGAAAGCCCGGAGCUCAACUCCGGAAUUGCCAUUGAAACUGUUGAACUUGAGGAUGAGAGAGGUGAGUGGAAUUCCCAGUGUAGAGGUGAAAUUCGUAGAUAUUGGGAAGAACACCGGUGGCGAAGGCGGCUCACUGGCUCAUUACUGACGCUCAGGCGCGAUAGCGUGGGGAUCAAACAGG
rnacentral:rRNA from 1 species